rnacentral:rRNA from 1 species
CGCCUCUUGAUCCCAUAAGAGGUCCAGCCUGCCCAGUGACUCAAUUCAACGGCCGCGGUAUCCUAACCGUGCGAAGGUAGCGUAAUCACUUGUCUUCUAAAUAGAGACUAGUAUGAAAGGCAUCACGAGAGCUAAACUGUCUCCCCCCUCCAAUCAGUGAAUCUAAUCUCCCCGUGAAGAAGCGGGGAUUAACAUAUAAGACGAGAAGACCCUGUGGAGCUUAAAACAUCAUAACACCUGCUUUACCCUCCCCCAUCCAGAUUUUCUACCCCAGCAUGCUGAUUAUAAGUUUUUGGUUGGGGUGACCGCGGAGAAAAAUCUACCCUCCACAAUGAAAGGCCCUCCCCCAACAAUAAGUUACACCUUUACAUUUCAAUAAAUUGACAUCCAUUGACCCAAUACUUGACCAACGAACCAAGUUACCCCAGGGAUAACAGCGCAAUCCACUUUAAGAGCUCCUAUCGACAAGUGGGCUUACGACCUCGAUGUUGGAUCAGGGUACCCCAGUGGUGCAGCAGCUACUAAAGGUUCGUUUGUUCAACGAUUAAAACCCCWWACGUG